rnacentral:sRNA from 1 species
AGCGCUGGUGGUUUAUUCUUCCGUGGAGUUAAGGGUUCCGUGGACAUCUCAAGUCUUCAGGGUCUUCCAUCUGGAACUAUAUAAAGUUCAGAAAACAUGUCUCGAAGAUAUGACUCCAGGACCACUAUAUUUUCUCCAGAAGGUCGCUUAUACCAAGUUGAAUAUGCCAUGGAAGCUAUUGGACAUGCAGGCACCUGUUUGGGAAUUUUAGCAAAUGAUGGUGUUUUGCUUGCAGCAGAGAGACGCAACAUCCACAAGCUUCUUGAUGAAGUCUUUUUUUCUGAAAAAAUUUAUAAACUCAAUGAGGACAUGGCUUGCAGUGUGGCAGGCAUAACUUCUGAUGCUAAUGUUCUGACUAAUGAACUAAGGCUCAUUGCUCAAAGUAUUUAUUACAGUAUCAGGAGCCAAUACCUUGUGAGCAGUUGGUUACAGCACUGUGUGAUAUCAAACAAGCUUAUACACAAUUUGGAGGAAAACGUCCCUUUGGUGUUUCAUUGCUGUACAUUGGCUGGGAUAAGCACUAUGGCUUUCAGCUCUAUCAGAGUGACCCUAGUGGAAAUUACGGGGGAUGGAAGGCCACAUGCAUUGGAAAUAAUAGCGCUCUGUGUCAAUGUUGAAACAAGACUACAAAGAA